rnacentral:rRNA from 1 species
UACAGAGGUCCCAAGCGUUGUUCGGAUUCAUUGGGCGUAAAGGGUGCGUAGGUGGCGCCGUAAGUCAGGUGUGAAAUCUCGGGGCUUAACUCCGAAACUGCAUUUGAUACUGCGGUGCUUGAGGACUGGAGAGGAGACUGGAAUUUACGGUGUAGCAGUGAAAUGCGUAGAGAUCGUAAGGAAGACCAGUGGCGAAGGCGGGUCUCGUGGACAGUUCCUGACACUGAGGCACGAAGGCCAGGGGAGCAAACGGG